UGCUUCGGCGGGAACAGACGGCCCUGUAACAACGGGCCGCCCCCGCCAGAGGACCCCUAACUCUGUUUUUAUAAUGUUUUUCUGAGUAAACAAGCAAAUAAAUUAAAACUUUCAACAACGGAUCUCUUGGCUCUGGCAUCGAUGAAGAACGCAGCGAAAUGCGAUAAGCAAUGUGAAUUGCAGAAUUCAGUGAAUCAUCGAAUCUUUGAACGCACAUUGCGCCCGCCAGUAUUCUGGCGGGCAUGCCUGUUCGAGCGUCAUUACAACCCUCAGGCCCCCGGGCCUGGCGUUGGGGAUCGGCGGAAGCCCCCUGUGGGCACACGCCGUCCCUCAAAUACAGUGGCGGUCCCGCCGCAGCUUCCAUUGCGUAGUAGCUAACACCUCGCAACUGGAGAGCGGCGCGGCCAUGCCGUAAAACACCCAACUUCUGAAUGUUGACCUCGAAUCAGGUAGGAAUACCCGCUGAACUUAAGCAUAUCAAUAAGCGGAGGA
rnacentral:rRNA from 1 species